rnacentral:rRNA from 1 species
UCGAACGGGUAACAGGGUCUUCGGAUGCUGACGAGUGGCGAACGGGUGAGUAAUACAUCGGAACGUGCCCGAUCGUGGGGGAUAACGAGGCGAAAGCUUUGCUAAUACCGCAUACGAUCUACGGAUGAAAGCGGGGGAUCUUCGGACCUCGCGCGGACGGAGCGGCCGAUGGCAGAUUAGGUAGUUGGUGGGAUAAAAGCUUACCAAGCCGACGAUCUGUAGCUGGUCUGAGAGGAUGAUCAGCCACACUGGGACUGAGACACGGCCCAGACUCCUACGGGAGGCAGCAGUGGGGAAUUUUGGACAAUGGGCGAAAGCCUGAUCCAGCCAUGCCGCGUGCAGGGUGAAGGCCUUCGGGUUGUAAACUGCUUUUGUACGGAACGAAAAGCCUCUUUCUAAUAAAGAGGGGUCAUGACGGUACCGUAAGAAUAAGCACCGGCUAACUACGUGCCAGCAGCCGCGGUAAU